rnacentral:rRNA from 1 species
ACGGGGCCCGCACAAGCAGUGGAGUAUGUGGUUUAAUUCGAAGCAACGCGAAGAACCUUACCAGGGCUUGACAUCCCUUGAAGCAGCUAGAGAUAGCUGUGUCCUUCGGGACAAGGAGACAGGUGGUGCAUGGUUGUCGUCAGCUCGUGUCGCGAGAUGUUGGGUUAAGUCCCGCAACGAGCGCAACCCCUAUUGCCAGUUACCAUCAUUAAGUUGGGGACUCUGGCGAGACUGCCGUGGAUAACACGGAGGAAGGUGGGACGACGUCAAAUCAUCAUGCCCCUUAUGUCCUGGGCUACACACGUACUACAAUGGCAACAACAAAGAGCAGCAAGUCCGCGAGGCCAAGCGAAUCUCGAAAUGUUGUCCCAGUUCGGAUUGCAGGCUGAAACUCGCCUGCAUGAAGUCGGAAUUGCUAGUAAUGGCAGGUCAGCAUACUGCCGUGAAUACGUUCCCGGGCCUU